AUUUCUGUGGACCGGUCUGGUGGUAUCACCUGGGACUCUGAGUGACUGCAGCAGCAGCGGCAGCGCCUCGGUUCCUGAGCCCACCGCAGGCUGAAGGCAUUGCGCGUAGUCCAUGCCCGUAGAGGAAGUGUGCAGAUGGGAUUAACGUCCACAUGGAGAUAUGGAAGAGGACCGGGGAUUGGUACCGUAACCAUGGUCAGCUGGGGUCGUUUCAUCUGCCUGGUCGUGGUCACCAUGGCAACCUUGUCCCUGGCCCGGCCCUCCUUCAGUUUAGUUGAGGAUACCACAUUAGAGCCAGAAGAAUGGCUUCUGGUGGCAUGUGACUUAUUGGAAAGAGGCUAACCCUGACUGCUGCCAAGGAGACCAAUGGGAGACUGGGUCCCAGUUGGUGGUCCAGGCUGCGCCACACCGUAGGAGUCCAUAACAAGAAGGGCUGGCCUCUGUUGCCCGUUGAUGCAUGAGCCAUCUCAGCAGAGCAGGCCGUCCCCAGUUAUUCCUUGUCCCAGAUGCCUCUGCUGGUUUGUCCUAGUGCCUGCUAACCCUCAGCUGUUGCCACUUGGAUAUUAUGUCAAGC
rnacentral:lncRNA from 1 species